GGUUAAGCGACUAAGCGUACACGGUGGAUGCCCUGGCAGUCAGAGGCGAUGAAGGGCGUGCUAAUCUGCGAUAAGCGCCGGUAAGGUGAUAUGAACCGUUAUAACCGGCGAUACCCGAAUGGGGAAACCCAGUGUGAUUCGUCACACUAUCAUUAACUGAAUCCAUAGGUUAAUGAGGCGAACCGGGGGAACUGAAACAUCUAAGUACCCCGAGGAAAAGAAAUCAACCGAGAUUCCCCCAGUAGCGGCGAGCGAACGGGGAGGAGCCCAGAGCCUGAAUCAGCAUGUGUGUUAGUGGAAGCGUCUGGAAAGGCGCGCGAUACAGGGUGACAGCCCCGUACACAAAAGCGCAUGUGCUGUGAGCUCGAUGAGUAGGGCGGGACACGUGAUAUCCUGUCUGAAUAUGGGGGGACCAUCCUCCAAGGCUAAAUACUCCUGACUGACCGAUAGUGAACCAGUACCGUGAGGGAAAGGCGAAAAGAACCCCGGCGAGGGGAGUGAAAAAGAACCUGAAACCGUGUACGUACAAGCAGUGGGAGCACCCUUUGGGGUGUGACUGCGUACCUUUUGUAUAAUGGGUCAGCGACUUAUAUUCUGUAGCAAGGUUAACCGAAUAGGGGAGCCGUAGGGAAACCGAGUCUUAACCGGGCGUUAAGUUGCAGGGUAUAGACCCGAAACCCGGUGAUCUAGCCAUGGGCAGGUUGAAGGUUGGGUAACACUAACUGGAGGACCGAACCGACUAAUGUUGAAAAAUUAGCGGAUGACCUGUGGCUGGGGGUGAAAGGCCAAUCAAACCGGGAGAUAGCUGGUUCUCCCCGAAAGCUAUUUAGGUAGCGCCUCGUGAAUUCAUCUCCGGGGGUAGAGCACUGUUUCGGCUAGGGGGCCAUCCCGGCUUACCAACCCGAUGCAAACUGCGAAUACCGGAGAAUGUUAUCACGGGAGACACACGGCGGGUGCUAACGUCCGUCGUGAAGAGGGAAACAACCCAGACCGCCAGCUAAGGUCCCAAAGUCAUGGUUAAGUGGGAAACGAUGUGGGAAGGCCCAGACAGCCAGGAUGUUGGCUUAGAAGCAGCCAUCAUUUAAAGAAAGCGUAAUAGCUCACUGGUCGAGUCGGCCUGCGCGGAAGAUGUAACGGGGCUAAACCAUG
rnacentral:rRNA from 1 species